UGGGAUAACACCUGGAAACAGAUGCUAAUACCGGAUAACAACACUAGACGCAUGUCUAGAGUUUAAAAGAUGGUUCUGCUAUCACUCUUGGAUGGACCUGCGGUGCAUUAGCUAGUUGGUAAGGUAACGGCUUACCAAGGCAAUGAUGCAUAGCCGAGUUGAGAGACUGAUCGGCCACAUUGGGACUGAGACACGGCCCAAACUCCUACGGGAGGCAGCAGUAGGGAAUCUUCCACAAUGGACGCAAGUCUGAUGGAGCAACGCCGCGUGAGUGAAGAAGGGUUUCGGCUCGUAAAGCUCUGUUGGUAGUGAAGAAAGAUAGAGGUAGUAACUGGCCUUUAUUUGACGGUAAUUACCUAGAAAGUCACGGCUAACUACGUGCCAGCAGCCGCGGUAAUACGUAGGUGGCAAGCGUUGUCCGGAUUUAUUGGGCGUAAAGCGAGUGCAGGCGGUUCAAUAAGUCUGAUGUGAAAGCCUUCGGCUCAACCGGAGAAUUGCAUCAGAAACUGUUGAACUUGAGUGCAGAAGAGGAGAGUGGAACUCCAUGUGUAGCGGUGGAAUGCGUAGAUAUAUGGAAGAACACCAGUGGCGAAGGCGGCUCUCUGGUCUGCAACUGACGCUGAGGCUCGAAAGCAUGGGUAGCGAACAGGAUUAGAUACCCUGGUAGUCCAUGCCGUAAACGAUGAG
rnacentral:rRNA from 1 species